AAAGGAAGGGUGGGUUCCUGUUGUCUCUGCCUCAGUGUUUGAAUUGAAUAAAUAUCUCCUACCCUUGGCACUUCUGGUCUCAGGUUUCAAAUCUAGGCAAGAAUCUACACCAUCAGCUCUCCGACUCUCACCCCCUGCCUUCCUGGGUCUCCAGCUUGCAGAAGGUAGAUCAUGUGACUUCCCACUCUUCAUAAUCAGAGUUCAUCAAAAAAUAAGUCUGCAAGUUUCAGAAGAUGAGACCUCACUGUGACAACAGAAUCAUACCACACAUGUCAGACAACGACUUAAUGGGAGAAUCAAUGGAAAGCUGAGAAACAACAAAGUGUAUGGUUUUGAGUCUAAAUACAGUAAGUGCAAUGGGAGAGAUUCUUCCACAAUGAAGCCUCAAAGUUUUCUUGUUCAGCACACGUCAUGCAUUGUUUCCUCGAUGACCCUCUUGUACAACCUCGCACUGGGGAACCAGUCUACAACCUGUGAGGACCAGGAUGUAAGAGAGUCUGCAGCUGGCCCCAUGGAGUCUGCAUGCGAUCAGGAAGUGUUACAUGGAGUUCCUCUUUCACCGAUUAACUUCCCUAAACUUCCAUUAAAAAUCUUGGGGCCAGGGGCGCCUGGGUGGCUCAGUGGGUUAAGCCUCUGCCUUCAGCUCAGAUCAUGAUCGCAGGGUCCUG